UUUCUUCUUCGUUCUUCUUCUGCUCCUCCUCUGUUUCUUCUUCUGUUAGAUUUUGGGAGAUGAAAUAUAGUUUUGAGAUCAAGAUAAGAUGAGUCUGAUCAUGAAUCAAGUGAUGGUGGAAGUAUUGUUUCUGUUUGAGUUUAGGAGGAUGUUGAUUAAGUACUGGAAGAUGAAGGAAAGAUGAACUAAAUUAGGGUUAUAGAGUUAAUUUAGGUUCUGAAGUUUUAAGAGAUAAAAUUAGAACUAUGGUGGGAUGAAGAAUCAUGGGUUUAGGUUCAAUUGAAGUUAUGAACUUGUUUUGGAGAUGAAUUGAUUGAAGCUAGGAUUUCAGAAAGAAUUCAAGGAAGAAUUAGAAGGAGAUAUUGAUGUUAAGUGGAUUGAAUUAGUGAUGGGUUUGUCCUUAAUAGAAUUGUAGUUGGAUGAAUUGGGGUUAAUUGGAUGUUUUUGGCGAUGUAUGGUGGUGAACUGAAAUUAGGGUUUCAAGUUCUUCCCAAAAUUAGUAUUAGGGUUCAUAAAAGUGAUUGAUUCAAGUGACUGGAUCUGAUUGAGAUGGAGGAUGAGAAGUUAUACAAUUGUGAUUUCCGUCCAAGGUAAUUCUCAUGCGGUAAGUAGAAUUUCAUGAUUAUGUGUUAUCAACUGAAGUAAUUCUUAUUUUAGUUAUGGAUUGAAUAUGAUAUUGGUGAUGUUAACAAUUUAAGAUGUCUGAGUUGAUGGAGUUAUAAAUGGUGUAUGAAUUGAAUAUAAGUUGAAUUUUGAAUUGUAAUAAAGAGGCUAAUGGUUGUUGUGGAUGUUGGUGGUUUAAAUGAGCUGUGAUGCAAGCUGAGGUGAUAUUGAGUCAUGAGAUACUGCAUCAGAUGGUUGUAAUUGAGUUUGUUGGUGGUUGUCUAGUGAAUUAUAGCUGGGUCUGCUCAGACUUGCAGGGGAUUUGGAUGAAUAAAUUAGGAAUUGGUGAAUGUUGAGUGGAUAUUACAGCCAUGAAGUGAACUGUGUAAAGAGAGCAGAAUGUGAAGUUAAAAGUGUUGUUGGUGUUGAGGAUGAAACUGCAGGUGAAGAAGAGAUGAUGUUAAAUGGAUUGGUUGUUGCAUAUGUAGAUGAUUAUACUGAGUUAUAAGUUGUGGUGGUGAUGUGGAGGUUGCAGGGGAUAUUUGUGGUUGGUGGAGGUUUAGAAACCAUAGGUCGUGGUGUUGUUUGUGUGUUGAGAGUUUGCAAGCACGAAAUGUGUAACUGAGACGAUAGUUGUAGAAUUAUAGUCAAGUGGUGGCUGUGAAAAGCUUAAAGCUACAAUUGCAGCGUCCUUGUAUUUCGAGGAGAACUGCCACUCUUGAACAGAUAUCUUCCAUAUUGGAUUCACCAUCUGACUUGGAACCAUCUCAUGAUGAAUCUUAAGUGUUUGGAGCUAGGCAUCACCGGCAUUAUCGACAUGGUUCGCCUGGAGGGAUCUCAGAGAAAGUACAAGUGGAUUCGAUCAUCCAGCGAAU